rnacentral:rRNA from 1 species
GACGAACGCUGGCGGCGUGCCUAAUACAUGCAAGUAGAACGCAGUUGCGAACGGGUGAGUAACGCGUAGGUAACUGCCUGGUAGCGGGGGAUAACUAUUGGAAACGAUAGCUAAUACCGCAUACUACCAGAUGGACCUGCGUUGUAUUAGCUAGUUGGUGGGGUAACGGCUCACCAAGGCAACGAUACAUAGCCGACCGGGGAGGGGUGUCGGCCACUCUGGGACGGAUACACGGGCCAGACUCAGACGGGAGGCGUCAGUAGGGAAUCUUCGGAAAUGGGGGGAACCCGGACAGGACAAAGCCGCGUGAGUGAAGAAGGUUUUCGGGGCGUAAAGCUCUGUUGUUAAGGAAGCGAUACUUAAACAGAAAGGGACGGGUAACUACGUGCCAGCAGCCGCGGUAAUAC